UUCCAAGGUUUUUACAUACAGUCACUAGCGCCACAGGCAGGGCAUUGUGAGACAAGUGCAGCGCCCUGGAGUGCAGGGCCAGCGUGCAUCCAUCACUUC